rnacentral:tRNA from 1 species
GGCCGUAGCUCAGUGGCAGAGUGCUUGCCUAGCAUGCGUGAGGCACUGGGUUUGAUCCUCAGCACCA